rnacentral:rRNA from 1 species
UGGGGAAUUUUGGACAAUGGGGGAAACCCUGAUCCAGCCAUCCCGCGUGUGCGAUGAAGGCCUUCGGGUUGUAAAGCACUUUUGGCAGGAAAGAAACGUCAUGGGUUAAUACCCCGUGAAACUGACGGUACCGGCAGAAUAAGCACCGGCUAACUACGUGCCAGCAGCCGCGGUAAUACGUAGGGUGCAAGCGUUAAUCGGAAUUACUGGGCGUAAAGCGUGCGCAGGCGGUUCGGAAAGAAAGAUGUGAAAUCCCAGAGCUCAACUUUGGAACUGCAUUUUUAACUACCGGGCUAGAGUGUGUCAGAGGGAGGUGGAAUUCCGCGUGUAGCAGUGAAAUGCGUAGAUAUGCGGAGGAACACCGAUGGCGAAGGCAGCCUCCUGGGAUAACACUGACGCUAAUGCACGAAAGCGUGGGGAGCAAACAGG